UACAGAGGGUGCGAGCGUUAAUCGGAAUUACUGGGCGUAAAGCGUGCGUAGACGGUUAUUUAAGUCGGGUGUGAAAGCCCCGGGCUCAACCUGGGAAUUGCAUUCGAGACUGAAUAGCUAGGGUACGGUAGAGGGAAGUGGAAUUUCCGGUGUAGCGGUGAAAUGCGCAGAUAUCAGGAGGAACACCGGUGGCGAAGGCGGUUCUCUGGGCCUUACCUGACGCUGAGGAGCGAAAGCGUGGGGAGCAAACAGG
rnacentral:rRNA from 1 species